rnacentral:lncRNA from 1 species
GAGAAAUUCCAGGUUUCCUUGGGAGAGAUUAUCUACACAGAGUCUUCUGAGCGAACCUAAAAUGCUUUUCCCAGACAAUCACGGAAACACUCAGGGGACUUCACGCUGCCAGCCUGCUUCCCUGAAAUACCCUUCAUUGUGUACAGAAUUCUCGAACUGGUAAGGAGGAGAAAUGAUCCAGGACAGGCAGGGAAGCAAGAGGAGGAAGAGCAGUACCACCAGUCCUGAAAGUUGACCCAGAACUCAGCAAACCCCAGUGCUAUGGCUCAGAGAAGAGAAGCCUGGCUGGAAAGGGCCAAGAAGCAGAAAAAAGGAGAAAAUAGAAUAGUGGACACGGGCAAACCACCCCAACAUCUACAGGGGCAAAAGGUAAAUGAAGAUCCAUAAACUAUAUGUCUAAACCUCCUAAAGUUAUAAAUCAAUUGGACAGCAAGUGAACAGACUUUUAAGUAAAAUACGUGAUAUUCUCCCACCUUGACAAACAGAUCUUGAUAGCAAACUGGAAGCCCAGAGUUCAUAAAUUUAGUGUUCUUGGACUCCUCAGAGUUCCGGAAUGCAAUAAUGCAAGCAGACUGGUCACCUGCCCUGGCCUCUGGUCUCUGACCAGAUCCCUUUCUCUUCCCAUCCUGGCUCGGACCCCACACGACCAGGGAUUUCAUUCACAGGCACAGAUGUGCCACAGUGAGUCCAAGCUCUGUCCACACCCCUUGCAACCGCCUGCAGUGGCAAACCGCUCAGACCUAAGAGGAGCACCUCACCCAGAGGCUGGACCCAGGGACCUGUAAAGGCUCUGGAAAUAGACUCAGGCCCUUUGGGAGAGGAAAUUCUAUCUGAUUACUUGAAGUGUGGUCUUAAAGAGGAGCUGGCUCUGGGUGGGCAUGACCCAUUGGCCUGUGGAUUCUUCAUCCCACGGGGAAGAAGAAAGAAACCGAGCAGGUCCCCUGGAGCAUGGGUCGGGACAGGGGCCCUCUGCUCUGGUCCAAGGAUGGUAGCAGACAGAGAAGAGGAGGAAGAGUCAAGGAAGUGAGAGAGGGCAGGAAAUAGCAGGUAAUGAAGACCUUAGAAGCAAUCCUUCAGAAAGUGGCUUUUACUGUUACCCACACCGUGAGGAGCCCGAUCUUCUCCUGGGUACCAAGCUAAGUUUCUUCUCCUAGAUUGACUGAACCCUCCCCCGACCCCAACAGUGGAGAAAAGUGAGCACCUGUGCCUGAUUCAUGCUGUGUUCCUCCACCUACGUUACUGCUCAGAGACUAGCCACGCCUAGUUUUCCUGUGAUGAUAACUGUUGACCCUUCAUAACUUCCCGAGCUGCCACUGACAGUAGAGAACAAAGGAAGGAAGGAGGAAAGGGAGGAAGGAAGGAAGUUAUGAUCAGACCAG